rnacentral:lncRNA from 1 species
AUUAUUUUUGUUUUUGAUCAUUUCAAGAGGUUUCUAGUCGAUAGUGGGACAAAAUUUCUAAUUUGGGAACCUAAUUUUCUCUUCAAAUCUUCUUUACAUCUCUAGCUUAUUAAUACACCUCAGAAGUGUUACAGGAAUUAAUUAGCAGGAUUUUGAAGAAUAUUUUGAGGUAUUGAUUUUAAUCUUAUUAAAUGAAAUAACCACGUGUCAACCUGGGGGAAAGACUGAGUGAAGACCAUCAUGAUCAUCUCAAAACUCAAAGGAAUUUGCAUCCAGAAUGGCUUAACUUUGAAAAUAGGCCUCUCAUUCCAAGAGAGAUUUUAAUACAAUGCAAAGCAUCAAAAAUAACUUGAAAAUAUGAUGAAUGCUGUGAAAUUCAUGAAACAUGAAUAAAACCUUAGGAUAUUCCAUGUUUAUUUCAGAGAAGAUAUAAGAAAUUGAUUUUUACAUACUUAAAGGCUUUCCAAAGCAAGAUUAGAAAUGUUGAGUUUUUCCAGAGACUUACAUAUUUCAGAAAAGCCAAUUUAAUCUCAAACUCUGAAAGUCAUUUUAUAAGGUACAUUGGUAAUCAUUGCAUCUGCUACUUCACAAGGUUUUGUACUCUUUGAAAGGUGUCGAGCAGAUCACCCUUCAAAAAUGUUCCAGUUUUCUACUGAAUGAACUGAAAGGCCUCCCAAUUCCAUAUUCAAAAGAUUGUGCAAUUUCAUGAUUUGAAAAAUUAUAUAAAGUCCUAGUGAAUUAAUUCAUUCUGCAGCCAAACCCCCAGGAGUCCUGUCCUCAGGACCUCCCUGAGCCGACUUCCACCGAGGGAGGGGGAGCUUCAGGAGGCAGAGCUUCAGGAUGCCUGCUGUGUUCUGGGGACAUCCUUGUCAUAUCCGGUUUUCAGCUUCUUCUUGAAGAUUGUUUCGUAUCCUGGCUUCAUUUCUCAGAGAAGAGCCGCGAGGAGAUAUAACCAUCUCCUUUCACAUUGGUCUCCUCCCCUCCUGGAAAACAAUGAGCUCCUUG